GACGAACGCUGGCGGCGUGCUUAACACAUGCAAGUCGAACGGAGUGGCGAACGGGUGAGUAACACGUGGGUGAUCUGCCUUGCACUUCGGGAUAAGCUUGGGAAACUGGGUCUAAUACCGGAUAGUGCAAGAUGAGCUCGCGGCCUAUCAGCUUGUUGGUGGGGUAAUGGCGUACCAAGGCGCCGACGGGUAGCCGGCCUGGGAGGGUGUACGGGCACAUUGGGACUAGGGUAGGGCCCAGACGGCUACGGGAGGCAGCAGUGGGAAAUAUUGCGCAAUGGGCGGAAGCCUGAUGCAGCGACGUCGCGUGGGUAAUGAAGGCUUUCGGGUUGUAAACGCCUUUCGACAGGGACGCGGUACCUGUAUAAGAAGCACCGGCUAACUACGUGCCAGCCGCCGCGGUAAUUC
rnacentral:rRNA from 1 species